rnacentral:rRNA from 1 species
AUGAACGCUGGCGGCGUGCCUAAUCCAUGCAAGUCGAGCGAACGGACGAGAAGCUUGCUUCUCUGAUGUUAGCGGCGGACGGGUGAGUAACACGUGGAUAACCUACCUAUAAGACUGGGAUAACUUCGGGAAACCGGAGCUAAUACCGGAUGAUAUUUUGAACCGCAUGGUUCAAAAGUGAAAGACGGUCUUGCUGUCACUUAUAGAUGGAUCCGCGCUGCAUUAGCUAGUUGGUAAGGUAACGGCUUACCAAGGCAACGAUGCAUAGCCGACCUGAGAGGGUGAUCGGCCACACUGGAACUGAGACACGGUCCAGACUCCUACGGGAGGCAGCAGUAGGGAAUCUUCCGCAAUGGGCGAAAGCCUGACGGAGCAACGCCGCGUGAGUGAUGAAGGUCUUCGGAUCGUAAAACUCUGUUAUUAGGGAAGAACAUAUGUGUAAGUAACUGUGCACAUCUUGACGGUACCUAAUCAGAAAGCCACGGCUAACUACGU